UGGCUGUAGCUAUAUGUAUAUUUUUGAGAAGUUUACUGGCCGGCUGUUAUAAAUCUGUUGACAUAUCUGCUUACCGAACUUCUUACAUUU
rnacentral:snoRNA from 1 species